UUGCUUUCUUUGCUGGCGACCGGCGCACGGGUGAGUAACACGUAUCCAACCUACCCUUUACUCGGGGAUAGCCUUUCGAAAGAAAGAUUAAUACCCGAUAGCAUAAUGAUUCCGCAUGGUUUCAUUAUUAAAGGAUUCCGGUAAAGGAUGGGGAUGCGUUCCAUUAGGUUGUUGGUGGGGUAACGGCCCACCGAGCCUUCGAUGGAUAGGGGUUCUGAGAGGAAGGUCCCCCCACAUUGGAACUGAGACAUGGUCCAAACUCCUACGGGAGGCAGCAUG
rnacentral:rRNA from 1 species